GCACUGGAUGGAGGUUGUUCCGCUGUGAUCCAUUGUCGGACAUCGAAGGAGAGCGACGCUCAGAUGUCUGGACAGUGC
rnacentral:ncRNA from 1 species